rnacentral:rRNA from 6 species
AAAUUGAAGAGUUUGAUCAUGGCUCAGAUUGAACGCUGGCGGCAGGCCUAACACAUGCAAGUCGAACGGUAGCACAGAGAGCUUGCUCUCGGGUGACGAGUGGCGGACGGGUGAGUAAUGUCUGGGAAACUGCCUGAUGGAGGGGGAUAACUACUGGAAACGGUGGCUAAUACCGCAUAACGUCGAAAGACCAAAGAGGGGGACCUUCGGGCCUCUUGCCAUCAGAUGUGCCCAGAUGGGAUUAGCU